rnacentral:lncRNA from 1 species
AGCAUUAACUACAUGGCACCUUCUCAUACAUGGUCAUGAAGAAUCCUGACAACUGUUUUGAGGCAGUUACUAUUUUCAUCUUCCUUUCUCACAAAUCUGUUUCCUCUUUUCCUGGCACAUAGCUGCAGAUUGGGUAAACAGCCUAGACGUGGCCUUGUAACUGAGUAGAGUGGAACGUGUGAGGCCAGGGUUAUGCUACUUUCAGGCUUGGUCCACUAGCCCCACCUUGUUCCAUCCCUCUGCUCUUUCUUCCUUUGUGGCAACCUUGAAAACUGCAUGUUAAAGAUGGAGGAUCUACAAGAGGGAAGGAUCCUGGCUUGUGUACCGCCUCUUAGAGAAAAGCCACCAGCUGAUCAAGAAGAACCAUUUUGGAUUUUAUGAGGAAAGGAAGAAGGAAAAGAGAGGGCCAAGAAACACCCCCUCCAACAUCCAGCUUCCAAAGAAGUCCCAGGAGGGAGACUUUUUUGAAUCCCAGGUGGAGGGAGAACACUGAGGGAUGGACACUCAAUAGAAAGAAGUGCAUGCAGCCUCCUGGUUCUACUACACCUUAUUGGGAAUUGAUAAUUCACUUCCUCUGGCAAAUGAUGCAGCCAAUUAAAUGUGAACAUCCUUCACACCUGUUCCUGUUUCUAAGGCAAUGAGAUUUGACACAAGUGAGCAAGAUGACAAUAUAAAUCCUAAGUUGCAUGGAGAAAUUUAUUAUGUUUUUAGUAAAACCAUACCCUAAUCACUCAGUGCUUCAACUACCCCAUUUGCAAACACAGAAAUCUUUGUCUACAGGAUCCUCACACAGAUGGCAUAAGAAUUCAUAAAACUUAGAAAAUAUACUUUUCCUUAGAGAAAAUGAAUUGCAUGAAUCCUGGAUGUUUCCUAACAUAUUAAUAAACUCUUGACUUCCCCAUAAUGGUGUAUGGGAAUAUUAUGAUCAUCCAGUACACCACCUGCAUCCCAAAUGAAAAUAUGAGCAUCUUAUCAAUGUUGAAAUCACUUGUCUGGAGGAGAUUUGGCAAUUUUCCUCAAUUACUCAGUCUAAUAUAAUUAUGUAUAAUUUGUCAUAAUGCUUAGUAAGACAAUAAAAUGAAAAACAAUGCUGAAAACAACCAAUAGGAGACAGGAGUGUAACAUAUGCCUCACUAACUGCGAUGAAAGAUAAUUCACUGCUUCAGUUAUCAAUAUUUAGUUGAUAAUCAGAUGAGAAGCUUAAAUAUUUUUUAAAUGAAUCAAAGAAAUUCUACUCCCAUAUGAGUAAUGGUAUCAUAAAGGCCAUAUCUGUUUUGCUGUAUUAUUGACGCAUAUUCAAAUUUUUGGAUUCAAACACAACAGGUUUUUUGCUGUGUUGACCUUCCUAUAUGAGAGGUAAUUCUUUUGUCCUCUCUAACCCUGGCUUAUCUCCAAUGGCUUUCCUUCCCCCAGCCCUGAACACUGCAGGGAGUAGAGAUGAAGAAAAGCAGGGUCAAAAGCCUACUUUCCUUUUUUUUCUCCUUUAUUUGCUAAUUUAGGCUGUAUUUCUAUAACAUGCUGUUUCAUAGGAAGAGGAAAGUAAGCUUGAGGUGGCACGUCUUGAAAGAGAAACUUGAGGUAGAAGUAUGUAAACCUGCAAGAAAAGGGAAAGCCACGAUUUAAUUUUUUUUUCUUGUUCAAUAACUCAUUUUGUUUUCCAUCAUUGGCAAGAAGCACUAGAACAAGGCAAAGCUAUUCCUAUUUUAAGAGGUAGACCGACUUCUGUUCUCUAUUCCCAAGAUGAAACUAGUGGACAAGAAAGAAGAUUCCCCUUCCACCCUCCUAUCACAUGUCUCUUUCCCUGAAGCUACUCCUGGAUAAAUGGGACAAUGGCCCUAUUGGAAUCUAUCAGCACACACGCACACACACACACCUUGCCAUGUGUAUGUGUUAGUACCGGGUAAUAGGUAAGUCAGUCAUUCACAAAUAUCUAUUCAUUCUCUCUCCAUGAUGCUUCUACAAGACUGCAAGUCCCUGAGCAUUCAGAGGAGAAUCAAAGGGCCACUACCCUCAUGGAACUUUCACUCUGAACAUCGUAGACUUCACCCGAAUGAUUAAAUGUGCUAAGUGUUAUUUAAGAAAAGCUCCACAUGCAGGAAAUCAACCCUGAAUAUUCACUGGAAGGACUAAUGCUGAAGCUGAAGCUCCAAUACUUUGGCCACCUGAGGUGAAGAGCCAACUCAUUGGAAAAGACCCUGAUGCUGGGAAAGAUUGAAGGCAGGAGGAGAAGGGGACGACAGAGGAUGAGAAGGUUGGAUGGCAUCACUGACUCAAUGGACAUGGGUUUGAGCAAGCUCUGGGAGUUGGUGAUGGACAGGGAGGCCUGGCCGAAGUCCAUGGGGUCGCAAAGAGUCAGACAUGACUGAGCGGCUGAACAACAACCACAUGAAGGGGACACAGCCCAUUUCUUCCAUUUAUGUGUGAGUGGCCAUAGGCAAAGACAGCAGCACUGAACACAGAUUUACUAAGCACUUGUUACGAAUAAUGUAUUCAAGGCCCUUAAAGCAAUGCUUGUUGCAUGCCAAGUAUUCAGUAAGUGACAGGAACAUGUAAAUAGACCCUUGCUAAGAAAUUAUGUGUUUCUACUUAAAUUUUUCUCACAUCACUCAAUUAGACUAGAAAUAUUUCACUCUUAACAUUGUUGGUGUACCAUUCCCAAAAGUUGGUGUGCAAAGCACCAAAGAUCUUAAUUAGUGGCUGAAAUCUCCUUCUUUUUUCCUUUACUACCUAUUCUCUUGGGCUUCCCAGGUGGAGCUAGUGGUAAAAAACCUGCCUGCCAAUGCAGGUAGACGUAAGAGAUGCAGGUUCAAUCCUUGGGUUAGGAAGAUGGCCUGGAGGAGGGCAAGGCAAUUCACUUCACUACUCUUGCCUGGAGAAUCCCAUGGACGGAGGAGCCUGGUGGGCUACAGUCCCUAGAAUUACAAAGAGUCAGACACAACUGAAGUGACUCAACGCUCACCUACCCUAUCCAAGUUCUCUAUAGGUUCAAUCCCUGGCUGACGACAGAUGAUAUAAUAACAAGAGCAUGGGAUUUAGAGUUAACUAGACUUGUGUAAGCUGUGUUCUACCCAUGACUGGCCAUGUAAACUUAAAUCAUCUGUGAAGUGGAAACUAACAUUUGCCUUAUACAGCUUCUAACAGCCUGAGAAGCAGACACCUAGAGAAGGGUCUACGACAAGCACUAAUGACUGUGAUACCUGAGCUGUUCUUGGAGGAUAAAUGAGAUUCAAUUCUAUAUUUAGAGGCCAUAGGUGAAAAAACAGCCAUGCACUACUGUCUUCCAAAGAUGACGAAAAGGCAUUAUUCCUAUUUGUCCUAAGCACGCACUGAACACAGUUGCAAAGCAGUGAUUCACUGUCUACCAGUGAAGUGGCUGAAGACUGGAAGACUGGGGCUGCCUGUCAUGGCACCAGUGGAGUUAACCUUCCCACUUGGAGCCCAAGUCACACGCAAGGUCGACCGACUGUCCCUAUUUCAUCAACAGCUUAAUGGCAGAUCCCGUUGCUGCCUCAUUUAGAGAUUCAGUGCAAACCCUCAAGUUGGGCUUCCUUUAUAAUACCCUGCAGUCUCUAAAUUGCUGUGUAGGAUUUUCUGAGGACUCGUCUGUGAGAACACCGUGGGCUGUUGGUUGUAUGCAUGCACUUGCACAAAUAAGUGGCAGAAAGCUGGCUCAGGCAGAAGGACUUACAUAUUUUUUCCUCAAAUGACAUAUUUGGGCAUUAAAAACAAUGUAUCCUGUUCUCCUGCUAAAAAAGGAAUAAUGAAACCGGAGUGUUGCCUUCCCAGUAGCUCUCACCUUUGAAUCGUGCAAACAGCAAUGAUCCUCCGUUUGUAGGCAGCAACAGCCUCCAGAAGCUACGGGAACAUUGCCAAGAUCCCUGAAAAACCUCCACAGCUAAUUGGAAACCGGCUUAUUAGUGACACUUUUGAGAGUCAGGUUGUCAUUGAAGAGAAACGAAGGAGAACACGGUGGGCGCCGUAGCCUGGAAUUAGACUGUGGGAGGGAGGAAGGCUCCUCGCAGGAACUCGGCUCUGUAAUUUUCUCAAAUGCUGUGCUCAGCUGCCUUACAAAAGCUCUGGAUGUCAGGAGGCUAUAGGCAACACCUUACCCUCCAAAUCCUCCAUGAAAACUACCCCAUAACCAUCUACCUCGGGAGAGAGGGCUCUGUGGCCUCUCAAUGUUACCCUGAACUAAAGACAACAGAAAGGAAAUAUAUAUAUAUAUUCCUUCUCAGUAGCCUUCUGAACAUGUGUUGACAUUUUUAUGUAGCUGAGUUUUUUUGUCACAAUUACUAGACAAUUUCAGUAACAAAUAACCCCUAAGGUUUUGUGUACAUAAAAUUUCAGUAAAGAGGGAAAUGAAUUGAAAUUUUAAUUUAAAAAAAUAACAAUAUGUCAAAGUACCAGUCAGGUCAUAUUUAGGAAGCAUCACAAGAAAUGGACAGGAUUAGUGACUAAGAUUAAGAUUUUUUUUU